UACGUAGGGCGCGAGCGUUGUCCGGAAUUAUUGGGCGUAAAGAGCUCGUAGGCGGCCUGUUGCGUCCGCUGUGAAAUCCCGGGGCUCAACCCUGGGCGUGCAGCGGAUACGGGCAGGCUGGAGGACGGUAGAGGCGAGUGGAAUUCCCAGUGUAGCGGUGAAAUGCGUAGAUACUGGGAGGAACACCAGUGGCGAAGGCGGCUACCUGGACCGGUUCUGACGCUGAGGCGCGAAAGCGUGGGUAGCAAACAGG
rnacentral:rRNA from 1 species